CAGUCGCCGCGGUAAAACGAGGGGGGCAAGCGUUGUUCGGAAUUAUUGGGCGUAAAGGGCGCGUAGGCGGUUUGACAAGUCUGAUGUGAAAUCUCUGGGCUCAACCCAGAGUCUGCAUCGGAAACUGUCGAGCUUGAGUAUGGGAGAGGUGAGUGGAAUUUCCGGUGUAGCGGUGGAAUGCGUAGAUAUCGGAAGGAACACCUGUGGCGAAAGCGGCUCACUGGACCAUUACUGACGCUGAGGCGCGAAAGCUAGGGGAGCAAACAGGAUUAGAUACCCGCGUAGUCCCUGUCUCUUAUAC
rnacentral:rRNA from 1 species